rnacentral:rRNA from 1 species
UACGUAGGUGGCAAGCGUUGUCCGGAAUUAUUGGGCGUAAAGAGCGCGCAGGCGGUAUGACAAGUCAGAUGUGAAAGAGGCCGGCUUAACCGGCAAGGGUCAUUUGAAACUGUCAGACUAGAGUGCAGCAGAGGAUAGUGGAAUUCCCGGUGUAGUGGUGAAAUGCGUAGAUAUCGGGAGGAACACCAGUGGCGAAGGCGACUAUCUGGGCUGCAACUGACGCUGAGGCGCGAAGGCUAGGGUAGCAAACAGG